UGAACGCUAGCGGCAGGCCUAACACAUGCAAGUCGAGGGGCAGCAUAUCGCUUCGGUGAUGAUGGCGACCGGCGCACGGGUGAGUAUCGCGUUUGUAACCUACCCUUAACUGGGGGAUAGCCCGAAGAAAUUCGGAUUAAUACCCCAUAAUAUUUAAGCACGGCAUCGUGCUUUCAUUAAAGCUCCGGCGGUUAAGGAUGGGCAUGCGUGACAUUAGUUUGUUGGUAAGGUAACGGCUUACCAAGACUACGAUGUCUAGGGGGUCUGAGAGGAUGAUCCCCCACACUGGUACUGAGACACGGACCAGACUCCUACGGGAGGCAGCAGUGAGGAAUAUUGGUCAAUGGACGCAAGUCUGAACCAGCCAUGCCGCGUGCAGGAUGACAGCUCUAUGAGUUGUAAACUGCUUUUAUAUAGGAAGAAAUCCUUCUACGUGUAGAGGGUUGACGGUACUAUAAGAAUAAGCAUCGGCUAACUCC
rnacentral:rRNA from 1 species